rnacentral:lncRNA from 1 species
UACCUGUGCGCCUUCCUUUGAACACCUCUCCUGUCCUUGAUCCAUACCACAUACAGCCAUUUGCGGAUCUUUUCAGUGUCCAUGUGACAGAUAGUUAUUGCGAGGCUGGAACAUUAAAAAAAAUAAUUUUAACACCCGUGUAAAAUGAAUGCCAUGCAAGCUUACAGAUUUAAGUCUAAUAGCAUGAGAUGAAAGUAGACAAACAUCAGAGUGUGCGAUAAGAAGGUAUUCUGAACCUUUUUUGAGGUCAGUAGGUCACAUGACCAAGGAGCUAUUGAAAAUGUAAAUGUAGAAACAUUCAUGUAAAAUCAUGUGAGAUGAAAAUGAACAAACUAAAGGGUGUACAAUGUGUAGGCACACUGAGUGGACAUUCUGAACCUUGUUUGAAGUCAGUAGGUCACAUGACCGAGGAGAUAUUGAAAUUCUACAUUUUGAAAAAUUUAUGUAAAAUCAUGUGAGAUGAAAAUGGACAAAUUAAAGGGUGUGCAAUAUAGAAGGGUAGUCAGUGGACAUUCUGAAGUUUGUUUGAAGUCAUUAGGUCACAUGACCAAGGAGCUAUUGAAAUGUUAAAUGUAGAAAAAUGUAUGUAAAAUCAUGUGAGAUGAAAAUGGACAAACUAAAGGGUGUGCAAUAUAGAAGGGUAGUCAGUGGACAUUCGGAACUUUGUUUGAAGUCACUAGGUCACAUGACCAAUGAGCUAUUGAAAUAAAAAAAUGUAAAUACAUAAUUUAAAAUAGUGCAAGAUGUAAAAAAAGUGUGCAAUGCCAUCGGGUUCGCUGUAACCAGUUUUGAAAGUUUUAGGAGAAAUGGUUAAAGAGCUAUUGAAAUUUGAAAAUGUUGAUUUGUCACUAUGUUGACGGUCCCUAACUGCUGUUGUUGGACGUUAGGAAAACUACAGGCGAAUAUCCAACCUGAAACUGUUUUUACCUCGGUGUAAUGAACGUGUAGGAGUCGGGACGAGAGAGAGGCAGGCUGCGUUUCUCAGCCAGUCUAAAUCAUGAAUCAGUUGGCAUCAUUUUUAUGGAUAUAUAUACAAACAAAUGCCAAUUGAAAAAAGGACCUGAGCCCUAGGACCAUGCCUCAGGACUACCUGGUAUGAUGACUCCUUGCUGUCCCCAGUCCACCUGGCCGUGCUGCUGCUCCAGUUUCAACUGUUCUGCCUGCGGCUAUGGAACCCUGACCUUU